GGGAAGGUAGCUCAGUGGUAGAGUACUUGCCUUGCAUGCAUGAGGCCCUGGGUUCGAUUCCUUAGCACCA
rnacentral:tRNA from 1 species